GACGAACGCUGGCGGCGUGCUUAACACAUGCAAGUCGAACGGUGAAGCCCUUUUUUGGGUGGAUGAGUGGCGAACGGGUGAGUAACACGUGAGUAACCUGCCCCCUUCUUCUGGAUAACCUCAUGAAAGUGGGGCUAAUACGGGAUAUUCUGGUCUGUGCGCAUGCAUGGGUUGGGAAAGGUUUUUUCUGGUGGGGGAUGGGCUCGCGGCCUAUCAGCUUGUUGGUGGGGUGAUGGCCUACCAAGGCGGUGACGGGUAGCCGGCCUGAGAGGGUGGACGGCCACACUGGGACUGAGACNNNNNNNNNNNNNNNNNNNNNNNNNNNNNNNNNNNNNAUUGCACAAUGGGCGCAAGCCUGAUGCAGCGACGCCGCGUGAGGGAUGGAGGCCUUCGGGUUGUGAACCUCUUUCGCCAGUGAAGCAGGCCUGCUCCUUUGUGGGUGGGUUGACGGUAGCUGGAUAAGAAGCGCCGGCUAACUACGUGCCAGCAGCCGCGGUAAUACGUAGGGCGCGAGCGUUGUCCGGAAUUAUUGGGCGUAAAGAGCUCGUAGGCGGCUGGUCGCGUCUGUCGUGAAAUCCUCUGGCUUAACUGGGGGCUUGCGGUGGGUACGGGCCGGCUUGAGUGCGGUAGGGGAGACUGGAAUUCCUGGUGUAGCGGUGGAAUGCGCAGAUAUCAGGAGGAACACCGGUGGCGAAGGCGGGUCUCUGGGCCGUUACUGACGCUGAGGAGCGAAAGCGUGGGGAGCGAACA
rnacentral:rRNA from 1 species